UAUGAUAAAAUCAGACUCUGUGCUCAGACCUCAUUUUGGUACUCCCUCCUCUGUGUCCACGUGGAAGAGAUUCGUCUAUAAAUACUCGCGCCUCACAGCUGCAUCAGAUUCUGCUCGUCAUGGAGAGAACUAUGCUGCUGCUGUUAUGUCUGCAGGUUUUAUUUCUCACCGCGGUCUUCAUUUCUACUGAUGCAGUUGCUCUGCUCAAAGCUGAUCAAGAACAUCUGUCUGUUGAUCUGGGCACGAAAAUGACUGUAAAUGGCAAUGAAAGGGUGAAACAAAGAGCCAAGCGAGAACCCUUCAACUGUGGCCAGAACCCGGGUGAUUGCACUCUCAUCAGCAUGAUACAACCAAUGGAGAUCAAACCAACGUCAAACCCUGCAACUGACAACUGAAUAAAGAAAUUGUAAAUGUUCCAAUAUCUAAACACCCUUCUGUGCUCGCUACAAAAUCAAGGCCGGUCAAGAGAAGACACAGUAGUAGUAGUUUGUAUCAUGAACAUAGCAUUGGCAGUGUCUUGUUAAUAUCUAAUAUGUAAUAUCUACAAUAUGGGUCAAUAAUCCUCCUUAAUCCUGCACUGCAUGUCUGCUGCCAUUAUGUAGAAGCGCUUUAAGUAUUAAGCUUUUUUUCUUUUUCUAUUGUCACAUGUGGACUUCCAUCAAAUAAAAACCAAAUAAAAUAGUAUGUCUACCAAUGAACGUGUGUUUUAUGUUGACAGAAAAACCUAGCCUGUAGAGAUAAUCACUCAACAGUCCAUACACCUGGAAUACAUGACAUAUUUCUUCCUAUAUAUAUCUAGUGUGUAAUGCCCUCAUGUGGUUGUGUGAAUAUAUCAUGUCAAGUUUGUCACAGUAAGAGUCCUCCUUAAUGCCUAACCAAAACCAAAAAAUGAAAUGACACAAAUGUCAGUGUAUGUCUGGAGUCAUUAGCCACCACACUCCUCUCUAUACACCUGUGCAUGUUAGGCCAGAUUUCAUCAGACCAAUGGCUAGAUAUAUUAUUCUGUCAAACCUGGCAACAUAAUCACUGCCCCAGCCUGUAGCCAAACACAAUAUUACAAGUCAAAAAUAACACUUACUUAUCACUUGGUCAUUUGAUCUCUCAGUGCCGCUGGUUCCGAUUGUCUUGUGGUUGUCCUUUGGGAUCAUUGAGAGAGCUUCCAGUACAAAGUAAAACUCUCCUGUAAGGCACACACAGUGUUGGAGUUAGCUACAACUGAUAUUUAAGUCAGAAUAAUGUUAAAAACUUGACUAACAGUUGCACAUGGCCUAA
ensembl:lncRNA